CUGGACACGACUUGAGCUCCACGGUGCUUCGUUCUUCGUUGGAUUGGCAGCUUUCGUGUUUCUCAUCUUUACUCCCCAUAGACUUGUCUCAUAUAUUGAUACAACGACAGCAAGCGGCCGAAUUCUACACUGCCAACAUAUCCUUAGAUCAUAAUUAUCGACAUUAUACAAAGACAUGGUGGAUGCAUAUCGAAAAAGCCACAUCGUCUCUAUGUAUACCUUUUGCCCUCUGGUUGUUGGCCUAAGUGCGACGUAUAAUAAUCAGCACAUCCUCAAGCACGGGAUGCCGUGUAUGCACCCAUGAGUCCUUGUAUUUAUAUAUUCAAUCUUAUCCUUCAUCGUCUGGGACUUGUUCUUCUUCACGAUCUCUUUGAGAAAGGUCCCAAUGUAUGAUGAAGCGCUCAAUGCAUGCUGGGACAUUGCUGUUAAGUGCUUUUCGGAUUUGUGCAUUCGGGACCUUUUUGCAUACCUACAUCCGGGGGAAAGGGAGGUGUAGGAAAAUGUGCGGGAUUAUGCAUGGGAUCUCGGAUCUUGGCUUCUCAUCUAUUCGCCUCCCCUCGCCUACCAUAUCUUUUCCCUCUCAUAUCUGCGCUUAAGAGGGCUUGGAAUGUCAAAAAUUAAGCUGGACCACAAGGGUGAUGGAGCAGGCUUCUGGAACAGGAAGGAGAAAGAGGGAAUGAGUUUUGAGGGACGUCGCUCAGAUGGUUAAUGAAUGCGCGAUUGUCGAGGACGCGAUGUAAGCUUACAUUCAAGAGAUUUCGAAUUUGAAUUAUAGAACAUGUUGCUGGACCAUAUGUGGGACCUUGGGCGCCUAAUGGCCGUACAUUCACUUUGCUAAGCGUACUGCUCCAGUGGCACACCGGUUCAACACCACCUACGCUCCCUCUUCCGAUUCUAUUCUUAUUCCUCGUCCUAAUCCUUCCCAUCAGGGGACUCGUUUUUCAGUGACGGUACUCGAAAUGUUUUGUUGGAUUUGAGAAUGACUUUUCCUCUGAGUAUCAGUGUUCCGUAAGUUGCCGGCAAUCCCCUCCUUUCUGUCCUUUCUAUUGUGACUAUUCCUCUCCAAAUAGACCCAUGCCCCUUUUCACCAUGACUAGCUUCCAGCUCUCCUCUCGUUAUCUGCCCACCAUAAGCUGCUCAGUUUCAAGACUACUCAAUACAUCCUCAUAAGUUCUCUCGCCUCUGUCCACCUUUUCGACUUUCCCCCUCAUCAUCUUGCAUCAAAAAUGGGCUAUUGUCCAGCUAAGGGCUGCAACCUCGGAGCGUAAGUUAUGUUCCCAGCUUUUGAUAGUGAUCAAUACGGAGGUCAUUCGGUUGUUAAAGCAACGGUCCGGAGUCCUUCGAGUGUAUUUUGCAGCAUGUAACUUAUGUUGCUCCGACCUACGAUCUAU
rnacentral:sRNA from 1 species